rnacentral:rRNA from 1 species
GAUGAACGCUGGCGGCGUGCCUAAUACAUGCAAGUCGAGCGAACAGACGAGGAGCUUGUUCCUCUGACGUUAGCGGCGGACGGGUGAGUAACACGUGGAUAACCUACCUAUAAGACUGGGAUAACUUCGGGAAACCGGAGCUAAUACCGGAUAACAUGUUGAACCGCAUGGUUCAACAGUGAAAGACGGUCUUGCUGUCACUUAUAGAUGGAUCCGCGCCGCAUUAGCUAGUUGGUAAGGUAACGGCUUACCAAGGCAACGAUGCGUAGCCGACCUGAGAGGAUGAUCGGCCACACUGGAACUGAGACACGGUCCAGACUCCUACGGGAGGCAGCAGUAGGGAAUCUUCCGCAAUGGGCGAAAGCCUGACGGAGCAACGCCGCGUGAGUGAAGAAGGUCUUCGGAUCGUAAAACCCUGUUAUUAGGGAAGAACAAAUGUGUAAGUAACUAUGCACGUCUUGACGGUACCUAAUCAGAAAGCCACGGCUAACUACGUG